GUGAUGACGAGGUACUACGGUGCUGAAGUAACAAAUGCCCUGCUUCCAGGAAAAGCCUCUAAGCAUCAGGUAACAUCAAAUCGUACCCCAAACCGACACAGGUGGUCAGGUAGAGAAUACCAAGGCGCUUGAGAGAACUCGGGUGAAGGAACUAGGCAAAAUGGUGCCGUAACUUCGGGAGAAGGCACGCUGGUGUGUAGGUGAAGUCCCUGCGGAUGGAGCUGAGACCAGUCGAAGAUACCAGCUGGCUGCAACUGUUUAUUAAAAACACAGCACUGUGCAAACA
rnacentral:rRNA from 1 species